CCUACGGGAUGCAGCAGUGGGGAAUAUUGCUCAAUGGGGGAAACCCUGAUGCAGCAACGCCGCGUGAGUGAGGAAGUAUUUCGUUAUGUAAAGCUCGAUCAGCAGGGAAGAAAAUGACGGUACCUGAGUAAGAAGCCCCGGCUAACUACGUGCCAGCAAUCGCGGUAAUACGUAGGGGGCAAGCGUUAUCCGGAUUUACUGGGUGUAAAGGGAGCGUAGACGGCAGGGAAAGGCUGGAGUGAAAGGCGGGGGCUCAAUCCCCGGACUGCUCUGGAAACGGGACGGCAGGAGUGCAGGAGAGGUAAGUGGAAUUCCUAGUGUAGCGGUGAAAUGCGUAGAUAUUAGGAAGAACACCAGUGGCGAAGGCGGCUUACUGGACUGUAACUGACGUUGAGGCUCGAAAGCGUGGGGAGCGAACAGGAUUAGAUACCCUUGUAGUC
rnacentral:rRNA from 1 species